rnacentral:rRNA from 1 species
AGAGUUUGAUCAUGGCUCAGGACGAACGCUGGCGGCGCGCCUAAAACAUGCAAGUCGAACGAGAAGCCCGGGCUUGCCCGGGUGGACAGUGGCGAACGGGUGAGUAACACGUGAGGAACCUGCCCCGAAGACCGGGACAACACCGGGAAACCGGUGCUAAUACCGGAUACCUUCACCGGAUCGCAUGGUCUGGUGAAGAAAUGGAUUCCGCUUCGGGAUGGCCUCGCGGCCUAUCAGCUAAUUGGUGAGGUAACGGCUCACCAAGGCGACGACGGGUAGCUGGUCUGAGAGGAUGUCCAGCCACACUGGGACUGAGACACGGCCCAUACUCCUACGGGAGGCAGCAGUUAGGAAUCUUGCGCAAUGGACGAAAGUCUGACGCAGCGACGCCGCGUGCGGGAUGAAGGCCUUCGGGUUGUAAACCGCUUUCAGCAGGGACGAAAUUGACGGUACCUGCAGAAGAAGCCCCGGCCAACUACGUGCCAGCAGCCGCGGUA